AUUGAACGCUGGCGGCAGGCCUAACACAUGCCAGUCGAGCGGAUGAAGGGAGCUUGCUCCUGGAUUCAGCGGCGGACGGGUGAGUAAUGCCUAGGAAUCUGCCUGGUAGUGGGGGAUAACGUCCGGAAACGGGCGCUAAUACCGCAUACGUCCUGCGGGAGAAAGUGGGGGAUCUUCGGACCUCACGCUAUCAGAUGAGCCUAGGUCGGAUUGGCUAGUUGGUGGGGUAAAGGCCUACCAAGGCGACGAUCCGUAACUGGUCUGAGAGGAUGAUCAGUCACACUGGAACUGAGACACGGUCCAGACUCCUACGGGAGGCAGCAGUGGGGAAUAUUGGACAAUGGGCGAAAGCCUGAUCCAGCCAUGCCGCGUGUGUGAAGAAGGUCUUCGGAUUGUAAAGCACUUUAAGUUGGGAGGAAGGGCAGUAAGUUAAUACCUUGCUGUUUUGACGUUACCAACAGAAUAAGCACCGGCUAACUUCGUG
rnacentral:rRNA from 1 species